UGUGAGCUAAAGGGAGGAAGGAUAAAUACACAUCAUCCACAGUCAUCUACACGAAGUAAAAUAUGUGUUACAUUACAUAUAAUUAAUUUCAGCUUAUGAAUUAAUUAAAGAAGAUUAAGGAUACCACCUUGUCCUCAAAUUGUUCCAUGAAAAGAUCCAUUCCUCUUACUAAAGCUAGUACGUUUUCAUGUGUUAAAACAACGCCUUUAGGAUCUCCACUAGUUCCACUUGUAUACAUUAUUGUGCAUAUGUCAUGAGCCAAAGGAGGAUUAAUACUUGACGGGUUUUCUUUUCCCUGUAAGACUAGACUAAUGGACCCAAAACUUUGGCGCUUCGGAUUGAAAAAGAUCUUCAAAUCAAAAUCAUCAACUCAAAGGGAACAAUAGAGCAUUGAAUU
rnacentral:lncRNA from 1 species